GGUUUUGAUGGUGUAGUGGUAGCACUCCCUCCCUGUAGCGGUGAAACGCGGGUUCCAUUCCCGACUGAGGUCG